CACGUAGGGGGGCAAGCGUUGUCCGGAAUCAUUGGGCGUAAAGAGCUCGUAGGCGGCUCAGUAAGUCAGGUGUGAAAACUCCAGGCUCAACCUGGAGACGCCACCUGAUACUGCUGUGGCUAGAGUCCGGUAGGGGAGCAUGGAAUUCCUGGUGUAGCGGUGAAAUGCGCAGAUAUCAGGAGGAACACCGAUGGCGAAGGCAGGUCUCUGGGCCGAUACUGACGCUGAGGAGCGAAAGCGUGGGGAGCGAACAGG
rnacentral:rRNA from 1 species